UACGUAGGGGGCGAGCGUUGUCCGGAGUUACUGGGCGUAAAGCGCACGCAGGCGGUGCUGCGCGUUUGGGGGUACAGCUCCCGGCUCAACCGGGAGAGCGCCUCGAAGACGGCAGCACUUGAGGGCCAGAGAGGGACACGGAACUCCGGGUGGAGUGGUGAAAUGCGUAGAUAUCCGGAAGAACACCAAAGGCGAAGGCAGUGUCCUGGCUGGUACCUGACGCUCAGGUGCGAAAGCUAGGGGAGCGAACGGG
rnacentral:rRNA from 1 species